ACAUUCUAUAAAAUACAUACGUUUUGUUUGAUUUGUUAUUUCAGAGUUCAGAAGACGACGAAGACGAUGAGGUGUACACGUGUGGUGUUUGUGUGACUCGCGGCGAAAAAAAAAACCAGAUGAGCAGAAUGGCAUUUUAUGGGUGGGAUGUGACAGGGAUGUCUGUCCACUUAGCUGGUACCACUAUGACUGUCUUUCGCGAGAUGAUCAGCUUACAAUAGACAUGAGUUUAUUAUGUUCUGAAGUCAAGUGGAUGUGUCCUGUGUGUAUUGAAGAAGAAUGAUAUUUCU
rnacentral:lncRNA from 1 species